UACCGGAUGAAUAAGCGCCGGCUAACUACGUGCCAGCAGCCGCGGUAAUACGUAGGGCGCGAGCGUUAAUCGGAAUUACUGGGCGUAAAGCGUGCGCAGGCGGUUUUGUAAGACAGAUGUGAAAGCCCCGGGCUCAACCUGGGAAUUGCAUUUGUGACUGCAAGGCUAGAGUGUGUCAGAGGGAGGUGGAAUUCCCCGUGUAGCAGUGAAAUGCGUAAAGAUGCGGAGGAACACCGAUGGCGAAGGCAGCCUCCUGGGAUAACACUGACGCUCAUGCACGAAAGCGUGGGGAGCAAACAGGAUUAGAUACCCUGGUAGU
rnacentral:rRNA from 1 species